rfam:Medicago truncatula strain A17 chromosome 8, whole genome shotgun sequence.
AAACUACCCCUUAAGUAUUGACUUUUUUGCAGUUUUGGCCUCCCAGGCCAAUUUUGACAAAGUCAAUGCACACAUGGACGCCACGUGUGUAUUUAUUUUAUUACUUUUUAAUUAAAAAAAUUAUAUAUAUUUUUAUUUUUUAAUAAUUAAAAAAUAAAUAAAUACAUACGUGGCGUCCACGUCAGCUUUGACUUGGUCAAAAUUGACAUGGGGGCCAAAACUGCAAAAAAGUCAAUACUUAGGGGGCGGUUU